GGGCCUAACACAUGCAAGUCGAACGGACAGAGAGGAGCUUGCUCCUCAAAGUUAGUGGCGGACGGGUGAGUAACGCGUGGGUAACCUGCCCUAUGCAGGGGGAUAACGUUUGGAAACGAACGCUAAUACCGCAUAAUCUAGUUUCUUCGCAUGAAGAGAUUAGCAAAGAUUUAUCGGCAUAGGAUGGACCCGCGUUGGAUUAGCUAGUUGGUGAGAUAACAGCCCACCAAGGCGACGAUCCAUAGCCGGCCUGAGAGGGUGAACGGCCACACUGGGACUGAGACACGGCCCAGACUCCUACGGGAGGCAGCAGUGGGGAAUAUUGCACAAUGGGCGCAAGCCUGAUGCAGCGACGCCGCGUGAAGGAUGAAGGUUUUCGGAUCGUAAACUUCUAUCAGCAGGGAAGAAACCAAUGACGGUACCUGACUAAGAAGCCCCGGCUAACUACGUGCCAGCAGCCGCGGUAAUACGUGGGGGGCAAGCGUUAUCCGGAUUCACUGGGUGUAAAGGGUGCGUAGGUGGCAAUGUAAGUCAGAUGUGAAAUUUAGGGGCUCAACCUCUAAGCUGCAUCUGAAACUGCGUAGCUAGAGUGCAGGAGAGGAAAGCGGAAUUCCGAGUGUAGCGGUGAAAUGCGUAGAGAUUCGGAGGAACACCAGUAGCGAAGGCGGCUUUCUGGACUGUAACUGACAC
rnacentral:rRNA from 1 species